rnacentral:rRNA from 1 species
UUGAUUAUGACGUACUUGUACUGAUUGAGAUUUUAACACGAAGUGAGUGGCGAACGGGUGAGUAACACGUGGGUAACCUGCCCAGAAGUAGGGGAUAACACCUGGAAACAGAUGCUAAUACCGUAUAACAGAGAAAACCGCAUGGUUUUCUUUUAAAAGAUGGCUCUGCUAUCACUUCUGGAUGGACCCGCGGCGUAUUAGCUAGUUGGUGAGGUAAAGGCUCACCAAGGCAGUGAUACGUAGCCGACCUGAGAGGGUAAUCGGCCACAUUGGGACUGAGACACGGCCCAGACUCCUACGGGAGGCAGCAGUAGGGAAUCUUCCACAAUGGACGCAAGUCUGAUGGAGCAACGCCGCGUGAGUGAAGAAGGGUUUCGGCUCGUAAAGCUCUGUUGUUAAAGAAGAACGUGGGUAAGAGUAACUGUUUACCCAGUGACGGUAUUUAACCAGAAAGCCACGGCUAACUACGUGCCAGCAGCCGCGGUAAUACGUAGGUGGCAAGCGUUAUCCGGAUUUAUUGGGCGUAAAGCGAGCGCAGGCGGUCUUUUAAGUCUAAUGUGAAAGCCUUCGGCUCAACCGAAGAAGUGCAUUGGAAACUGGGAGACUUGAGUGCAGAAGAGGACAGUGGAACUCCAUGUGUAGCGGUGAAAUGCGUAGAUAUAUGGAAGAACACCAGUGGCGAAGGCGGCUGUCUGGUCUGCAACUGACGCUGAGGCUCGAAAGCAUGGGUAGCGAACAGGAUUAGAUACCCUGGUAGUCCAUGCCGUAAACGAUGAUUACUAAGUGUUGGAGGGUUUCCGCCCUUCAGUGCUGCAGCUAACGCAUUAAGUAAUCCGCCUGGGGAGUACGACCGCAAGGUUGAAACUCAAAAGAAUUGACGGGGGCCCGCACAAGCGGUGGAGCAUGUGGUUUAAUUCGAAGCUACGCGAAGAACCUUACCAGGUCUUGACAUCUUCUGACAGUCUAAGAGAUUAGAGGUUCCCUUCGGGGACAGAAUGACAGGUGGUGCAUGGUUGUCGUCAGCUCGUGUCGUGAGAUGUUGGGUUAAGUCCCGCAACGAGCGCACCCUUAUACUAGUUGCCAGCAUUAAGUUGG